rnacentral:sRNA from 1 species
UGGAUUGUUAACCCUGAAGAUUCUAGCCACCGGACAUGUACAGCAUGGACAUUAGCAAUGUGAGCUUUCCCACACUGCCCAGUCAAUAUGUUUCCACUUUGUCCUGGAAGGAGCACUUCUGGGGCUAACAGUUCAGUCUCCACAGCCUAUUCAGUUCUUGGUCUCU